UACGGAGGGUGCGAGCGUUGUCCGGAAUCACUGGGCGUAAAGGGCGCGUAGGUGGCGCGGGCAGUCAACGGUGAAAGUUCGGGGCUCAACCCUGAAUCGGCCGUCGAUACUCCCGGGCUUGAGCACUGUAGAGGCAGAGUGGAAUUCCGGGUGUAGCGGUGGAAUGCGUAGAGAUCCGGAAGAACACCGGUGGCGAAGGCGGUCUGCUGGGCAGUGGCUGACACUGAGGCGCGACAGCGUGGGGAGCAAACAGGG
rnacentral:rRNA from 1 species